rnacentral:rRNA from 1 species
CUACGGGCGGCAGCAGUGGGGAAUAUUGCACAAUGGGCGCAAGCCUGAUGCAGCCAUGCCGCGUGUAUGAAGAAGGCCUUCGGGUUGUAAAGUACUUUCAGCGGGGAGGAAGGGAGUAAAGUUAAUACCUUUGCUCAUUGACGUUACCCGCAGAAGAAGCACCGGCUAACUCCGUGCCAGCAGCCGCGGUAAUACGGAGGGUGCAAGCGUUAAUCGGAAUUACUGGGCGUAAAGCGCACGCAGGCGGUUUGUUAAGUCAGAUGUGAAAUCCCCGGGCUCAACCUGGGAACUGCAUCUGAUACUGGCAAGCUUGAGUCUCGUAGAGGGGGGUAGAAUUCCAGGUGUAGCGGUGAGAUGCGUAGAGAUCUGGAGGAAUACCGGUGGCGAAGGCGGCCCCCUGGACGAAGACUGACGCUCAGGUGCGAAAGCGUGGGAAGCAAACAGGAUUAGAUACCCGGGUAGUC